GACGAACGCUGGCGGCGUGCUUAACACAUGCAAGUCGAACGGAAAGGCCCUGCUUUUGUGGGGUGCUCGAGUGGCGAACGGGUGAGUAACACGUGAGUAACCUGCCCUUGACUUUGGGAUAACUUCAGGAAACUGGGGCUAAUACCGGAUAGGAGCUCCUGCUGCAUGGUGGGGGUUGGAAAGUUUCGGCGGUUGGGGAUGGACUCGCGGCUUAUCAGCUUGUUGGUGGGGUAGUGGCUUACCAAGGCUUUGACGGGUAGCCGGCCUGGGAGGGUGACCGGCAACAUUGGGACUGAGAUAGGGCCAAGACUCAUACGGGAGGAAGCAGUGGGGAAUAUUGCACAAUGGGCGGAGGCCGGAUGCAGCAACGCCGCGUGCGGGAUGACGGCCUUCGGGUUGUAAACCGCUUUCGCCUGUGACGAAGCGUGAGUGACGGUAAUGGGUAAAGAAGCACCGGCUAACUACGU
rnacentral:rRNA from 1 species